GCCAGAUGAUUAGCUUACAAGUUGUUACAUGCAUUCCAUUCUUGAUUACUACGUGGUAAAUAUUAGUCCAGCAGCUAUGGAACACCUUUAAGACACAAAGAGCUGGAAACAUGGCAAAGUCGGAACUGAAGAGCAAGCCGAGACCAAAGGACAAAGAAAAGGCAGAAUCAGGGAGUAAGCCAGAAACCAGCACUGAAUGCAAUGUCAGAGGUUGGCCACAGGUGCACCUUGUCUCUGAAAAGAUUUACAGGUGAUACAUGCCAAGCAGAUGUACAAGAGUUUAAAGCUACAAGCACAAAAAGAAGAGACAGAUAUGAGGAAAAGGUAUGAAGACCAGAUCUGCUUCCUGAAUACAAUUCUCCCUUGCCUGCAUGUAAAAAACUAUAUACUGGGUAGGGAUGGGAAAGAGAAAUGAUUUGAAAUGACAUAUGGGCUAAAAGUGGAAUGAAGAAGCCCUUUUGCAAAGUUGAAAUGGGAUCACAGCAUGGUUCUUGUUAUUAAAAAGAAAGAAAGAAGGGGGGCUUCUGGUGUCUUUGAGACAUGCUAAAUUUUGGGUUUGUUUGUUUACUAGGAAAGAACUAAUUUCCUGUUUUGGUUGUAACUUUGUUUGACAAUGUCUGUGAAAAAAAGCUUUACUAAGGAAGACUUGUGUAAAUGCAAAAUACAUCUUAGCAAUAUUUGAUGUAUCAGUGAGGCUGCGCUGAGAGUUUUUUCCUUGUUCCUUCUCCCUUACAUCUUCUUAAAAUCAAGAACAUGUCAUCAUGAAAUUUAGUUCUGAUUAAGAUAAUCCAAAAGCAGGCUUUUUAGCAGACACACUCUUAGAUUUGGUGCCAAUGUUCAAAGCCCUGAAGAGUAAGAAAGACUGGGUCUGUAAUGCAAAACA